UUUGUAAAUGGCCGCAGUAUUCUGACUGUGCUAAGGUAGCAUAAUCAUUAGUCUUUUAAUUGAAGGCUGGUAUGAAUGACGAGACGAGAAAAUAGCUGUCUCUAAAAUAAAUCUUGAAUUUUAUUUCUAAGUGAAAAAGCUUAGAUAAUUUUAAAGGACGAUCAGACCCUUUGGAGCUUUAUUUAUUUUAAAUUUUAAUUUAUUUUAGAUUAUUGAAUGAAUAAUAAAUUUUGUUGGGGCGACAGAGAGUAAUAAAUACCACUCUUUUUUUUAAACAAUUAUAAUUGAAAAAUUGAUCCUUAAAGUAAGAUUAAAAGACUAAGUUACCCUAGGGAUAACAGCGUAAUCUUCUUGGAGAGUUCAAAUCGAUAAGAAGGUUUGCGACCUCGAUGUUGGAUUAAGAAGAUUGACAAGGUGCAGAACUUUUGCUGGAGAGUCUGUUCGACUUU
rnacentral:rRNA from 1 species